GUGAGGGAAAGGUGAAAAGAACCCUGAAUAAGGGAGUGAAAUAGAACCUGAAACCAUACGCUUACAAGCGGUCGGAGCAGACUUGAUCUGUGACGGCGUGCCUUUUGCAUAAUGAGCCUACGAGUUACCGUUGCUAGCAAGGUUAAGGACUUCAGGUCCGGAUCCGUAGCGAAAGCGAGUCUGAAUAUGGCGUUUGAGUGGCAGG
rnacentral:rRNA from 1 species